AUGAAUACUUUUUAAACAUCUUAAUUAUAGAAAAUGACUUCCAGGUAACUGCCACGUGGAGUGUCAGAACUCCUUCGAAUUGUUUUGUAUCUGAAUAUAGCAAGUAUUCCCAAAAAAACGUUGGCACAAGACCCAGCCUGCAAAAUCUAGCUGCAAAAUGCUCAAAAACACCAUGUGGUGCAAUGAAUAAGAGUCGACCUGUGAAGAAGCAUUUUACGGCAGGAUCAAUAAGAUUCCAAGUGAUGCUUUUCAAGUUUAAUGUUUUCUUGGCAAAUGCCUCUUAACUAUUGAAAAUCAAAUAAACAUGUAUCUUAU
ensembl:lincRNA linc-158 ncRNA